ACAAUAGUGUGCUGAUUUUAGAAGCCUGACGGUUAGCAAUACGAGGGGCAGGAGUAAAGAUCUAUCGGACCUAGCAUAUAAAAAGCAGUAAAAGCAUACGAGAUCUACCAACCGAUACGAUCAGAUAACUGUGAACAUUUAAACAAGGCAAGGGAACCGAUAAAAACAACCUAGCUAGAUCUAAGUCGUUCGAUAACUCUGAGCGCUUAGGAACAACCAAGGAGCCGAUAAAGACAACCUAGAUAGAUCUAAGCAAACUUGAUAACUGUGAGCAACA
rnacentral:lncRNA from 1 species